GAUGAACGCUGGCGGCGUGCCUAAUACAUGCAAGUCGAGCGAACGGACGAGAAGCUUGCGUCUCUGAUGUUAGCGGCGGACGGGUGAGUAACACGUGGAUAACCUACCUAUAAGACUGGGAUAACUUCGGGAAACCGGAGCUAAUACCGGAUAAUAUUUUGAACCGCAGGGUUCAAAAGUGAAAGACGGUCUUGCUGUCACUUAUAGAUGGAUCCGCGCUGCAUUAGCUAGUUGGUAAGGUAACGGCUUACCAAGGCAACGAUGCAUAGCCGACCUGAGAGGGUGAUCGGCCACACUGGAACUGAGACACGGUCCAGACUCCUACGGGAGGCAGCAGUAGGGAAUCUUCCGCAAUGGGCGAAAGCCUGACGGAGCCACGCCGCGUGAGUGAUGAAGGUCUUCGGAUCGUAAAACUCUUUUAUUAGGGAAGAACAUAUGUGUAAGUAACUGUGCACAUCUUGACGGUACCUAAUCAGAAAGCCACGGCUAACUACGUG
rnacentral:rRNA from 1 species